AGUGAACGCUGGCGGUAGGCCUAACACAUGCGAGUCGAACGGAAGCACAGUAAGAGCUUGCUCUUACGGGUGGCGAGUGGCGGACGGGUGAGGAAUACAUCGGAAUCUACUUUUUCGUGGGGGAUAACGUAGGGAAACUUACGCUAAUACCGCAUACGACCUACGGGUGAAAGCAGGGGAUCUUCGGACCUUGCGCGUUUGAAUGAGCCGAUGUCGGAUUAGCUAGUUGGCGGGGUAAAGGCCCACCAAGGCGACGAUCCGUAGCUGGUCUGAGAGGAUGAUCAGCCACACUGGAACUGAGACACGGUCCAGACUCCUACGGGAGGCAGCAGUGGGGAAUAUUGGGCAAUGGGCGCAAGCCUGAUCCAGCCAUACCGCGUGGGUGAAGAAGGCCUUCGGGUUGUAAAGCCCUUUUGUUGGGAAAGAAAAGCAGCAGGUGUAUACCCCGCUGUUCUGACGGUACCCAAAGAAUAAGCACCGGCUAACUUCGUG
rnacentral:rRNA from 1 species